UGAGUCAUACAUCGUUUAUAACAAAUUUAUUGUAAGAACAGAUAAUACACAAGUAAAAUGGUGGAUAACACGGAAAGUGCAAGAUUCAGUAACAACGAAGGAAAUAAGAAGGCUUGUAUUAAAUAUACAAAAUUUUACAUUUACAAUUGAGGUAAUAAGGACUGAAAAAAAUAUUAUUGCAGACUACCUAUCAAGAAAAAGGUACCCAAACUGAUGACAGACAAGAAACAAAAGAUUUAUUUGCAAUCCUUACUACUCUAUCUUUACAGAUGGAUAGUAUGGAUAAAAGAUUACAACAGCUAGAGGAAAGCAAGCCAAGUCAGCAGCAUGACUAUAAAGAUGCGGAGCUAAGUCGAUCGGAAGACUCAAAAUUUCCAGAGUUAGAGGGAGACGUUGGGAAACUCCGUAAAACCCAUAACAAUGUUUGUUUACAUACACCUGCAGGUAUGAGUAAACAAGUUAAUAAGAAACCAUAUACCAAUGCCAAUUUGAAUAACAUAUUUGAUAAACCAAUUACUCCAAAAAUACCAAAAGAAAUAAUGACUACAACACCACAAACCUCAACCUAUGCAAACAGUCUACACCAAAAUAAGAAAAUAUACAACUAUAUUACCCAGACCUAUAUUGAAAACAUAUACAAAAUCCAAACAUUUCUAAACCUUAACCCCAGAGCAACUACUACAACAAAUCAAACACAAGACUACACAACCCAAAAACUCCAAGGAUAUAAUAGACUUAUUGCCCAACCAAAAACCAGAUCCAAUCUAGUAAAAACAUGCUACAAUUACGCAUUACUUAGCACAGUAUAUACCUAUGAUGGAGAAGAAAUAAGUGGAAUACCAGAGAUAUAUAAAACAUUUAUUACAUAUAAAAGAAUUACAAAAGGAAACCUAUUUUUUAUAAAAUUCUAUACAGCACCAGCUGAGAUACUAUACGAUGAAAUAAAACCUCUUAUACAGGUUGUAAAAAUAGGAUUGACACGAGAUAUGAUAAUACCAGAAGAGAUAGAACAACAACCAGAGAUACCAUAAAUCGAGAUACCGAGAUUUAUAACUAUACUUUCAUCAAUCCUAUCGCAAUAAGUCAUUCUGUUUUUAGUUCAUUAUCAUUGUCAUAGAAGUAUAAUCACAGAUUUUUUGCUUUUUGGUUCACAGAAAAUAGAUCAUCUAUGAAAUGAUACAUUUGUCUUUGAACUCUAAAGGUAUAACUACCAUAAUUUCUUCUCGCUAAAUCUUUGUUGUAGCUCAUGCCAAGUGAUGUAAAUGCAAAGAUAUUAUUGUAUGUUCUAAUGUAUGUGCGAAAGAGUUAAGAUUCCUCAGUAUUUGCUAAUAUAAAUUACGCAAUUCUAUGGGUAUUUUGUGUGUAGUUAAGAUAACUGGACCAUUGCUACAACAAAAUAUAUUAGGUUCAAAUUGAAAUUUCUUAGCUCGACAAAACUUGCAACGUGAAAUUAGUUUUAGUGGGAUGUAUUCUGAUCGCAUUUGGCUAAUGGUUAUGUUGCCUGUUUUAUUUAUAUUUGGACCUGCAACUUCCAAUAUGUCAGAAUGAAUAAAGGAAGGAAAGCUAGAUUGGUAAGAAAUAAUAUUGCAACAUACACCAACCUUUAUUCAGAAUAGUGUAAGAACUCUGAUUUUGUUCAUUAGCCGUACCAGACGUUGACCCUAGUAGCAUAUAAUUUUAGGAUAAAUAUAAUUAAAUAUUUUCUUAAUUAAACAAUGGUAAAAACUUUUUGCAUAGAGGAUUGUACUUGCCUACUUCAAAUAUUGAGGAUGGGUGGGCAGAAUUUUUUGCCCUAUCAUAGUAGGCUGCCAACAUAGUGGCGCGAUGCAUAUUAGCUAAUAAUUGCAAUACAAAAUGUGGCUAAUGUCAAAGUAUAACCAAAUAAGCUUGACAAAGUAAGCGUAUUUAUCAGAAGAUAUAUAUGAACAUGUAGAAAAUUCUACACAAAGGCAGAAAACACAUAUGCUUAGUAUUCUAACCUAUUUCAGAUGACAAUGCAGAUGCAGUGGAUUUUUUGCUCGUAGUCGGUGUUUUGGUAGUAGAGCAUGUUUUUUAGUGGAUUCCAUUUGCUUAUACGUCUCAUGCUAUCUGAAAUUCAUUUAUGCGUUUCGUUCUGCCAAAUAGGAAGAACUGUUUUUGUUCUGAGAAUGCAUCUGCUUCAAUGUAGUUUCUAUCUCCAAUUAUCUGUAGUUGAGGCCAAGUUUGAUAAGAAUCAAUAUCCACCACAUGGAAAAGAGAGAGUAAAUAUUCUAAAGUACCAAAAUAAGGAAAUAACAACAGUAAAAUGGAGACAUCAAUAAUUCUAUCUUCCUAAAUCAAUGUUGUUGGAGCAAAAUUAGUACCUAUUACAAAUUGACCCAAAUCCGUAGCAAAAUUUUGAAAUUACAGAGCAUGUCUCGCAAUUGAAAUUUUCAAAGAGGUAUUGUUUGGUGAAGCGCAAAAGAAGACCAAAUACCCCGAAAUAAGUUCAAAUGCAAACAAGAGGGGAAUAAGAGUGGAACAUGAUGACAGAACGUGAGUAUAGUAAUCAAGCAGAGCAGAGAAAUAAAGAGGGGAAAAUAAGUGCAUCAACCAGAGAACAACUGUGCUCACCAAAAGGGAAAAAGGUCACAGAGGCACAACAACUAAAACUGAAAGUGAAUCGAAGGACAUAGACGCAGAAAGAAGAUUGAAAGAAAGUUUCCGAGAAAAAAUGCAGAUGAAAGUUUCAUGUUAAAUUGCAUGAAGAUAAGAAUACAAAGCCACCAUUUCGUUGGUGAGAAAUGUCUUAGUAAGUCCUCAUCAUAAAGUGUUUCUUAUCUUUUUUCAAGGAUAAAACUGGCACAUAGACAAUAUAAAUAUCUAUUAUAGUUCCACUUGUGCAAAUAAAGUCACAUGUGUUGUGCCAUAAAGUCAC
rnacentral:lncRNA from 1 species